GCUCUUUCUCCUGUGAUCAUCGGCAUGAUAGGAGGCGAGUGAGGAACUCAGUGUCUUCUGACACAGGCAUCUCACAACACCAGUGCAGCCGGACCGUUGUCUGGUAGGUCUCUGUGCACCCAGGAGGACCUGGGCCUGCGAGAAGUCUGGGGCCCACUGCUGGGUAUGCUCGUUUCUUGAGCAUCCGAGUCACCUUUACAGUCUGCGAUGAUUGACGAGGUCAAACAGGACUCACUUGCAUUGCCGGGUCUCUGUGGCGACAGGGAGGACUUGGAGGAGAGGUGCCCGAUGAGCUCCCAGUCAUGUGGUUCAGGGCGGGCUCUGGAAGACUCACAGAGGAGACUCCUCCGAGAAACCAAGAAGGUUUCUGUCCAAGUCGGGAUCUGCUCUGCUCAGGAUGCUCCUCCAACACACACAGUGAAAAACUGAGCACCUAGAGAGCAACACCAAAAACCCAUGGCCAAUAAUGGAGAGCCAAAUCAGGAGAGCAUUCAGCAAAGCAAUUCUUGCUGUAGAAGGAACAGCACAAAAAGCUGGAAGGAAACUGAGGCAUGCGUGAAAGAUAACUUGUCAGUGUUUGCAGUCUACUGAGAUCCCCGCUGCAAGAAAAGGCAGGAUUUCCACUUGCUUCUUGGCCCGCCUCUGUUGUCCAGAAUCCAGGACAGGUGACAAGAGAAGCAGAUGUGAUCUGCACAAGCUGGCUCAGCUGGGUUGGGAGUUGCUCUUCCUGGACAGGCCGGGAAGGGUGCUGGAGGGGAGGGAGGAGGAGAGAGGUUUUAGGGGAGGGGUGCUGAGCAGUCAGGGACCUGUAAGGUCACAUUUCUUUCAGGUAUUCUUUCUAGGUGUACUGAAUGGGAACAUUGUCUGUCAUCCCUAGACUGCAUUAAAGACCUAAACUGCUUCCAUUUAUCUUUGGUUGUUGGACUGAAGUUUCUAAUGUACCUGGUGACACAGAGCACAGCUCUGUGUUUUUAUGGGUUGCUUAGUUCAAGAUCUGGAUGAAAGAAGCCUGAACCCAUUUUUGUGCAAAAGCCUAAGGGUGUACAGCAGGGAUGCUCAAACUUUUGUUUUUAUAAGAACCCACUUUUAUAUUAAGUAGGUUUUCUGUGUGUGAGAAGAAAUGCUUGAACAUGGAAAUGAAAAGUUCUAACUGUAGGAUGGAGUUUACAGGCUCAACUCUAAGCUUUCAGAAAGCAUCUCUUGAAAAUAAAAUCUUGGAUGUUGUAGCAAGUGCUGUGUACAUGCUCUUCAGCUCCUAGCCCCAUCCUACUACUGUGAAAGUGCAUGCCUGUAAACUGCCACCCUCCAGCAUCUUUUUCUGGCCAUUAGAGCCUGAUUUUCCUGAAGAUUCAGCAGGUUGGAAUGCCAGAGAAGUAAUGCCCUACCUGCACCCAGCAGUGUUCCACCAGUGGCUAUGGGAGUGGCUCACACACUCCAGCUACCUUCCUUCAUGGGACUGGAACCUGGAGUUCCCAAGAGGGAUUAGGCUCUAGUUGUCCAUGGGGCAGCUGUUUUACUGUCACCUUCCCUGUCCUGUCUCUCUUCCUGUCUCCACUCCCUACAGUGCUCCCAGAGAUAACUUCCCAAAUUUGCUGCCUGCCCUUGGAUGUUAUUUUAGGGUUGGCUUCUGAAGGAACAUAAACGAAGACAGACAGAUGUGCUGGGUAGCUAUGUGUAAGAUCACACUGAAACAUAGCCAAGAACAAGGCACUCAGCCACUCCCAGGUUUAAAAUCAAGUUUCCUACUUUGUCUCUCUGGUCUGAAUCUGAGUGAAAGCCCAGGCUCCUGCGUCACCUGGGCCACCUAAGGAUCUCCCUCCAGCCUCUGGGUGCUGAAGCUCCACCUGCCCUCACCACAUCACAGGAAACCGCGAGCACAUCCUCCUGCCUUCUCCAGCAGUCUCUUCAGUGAGCGCCUGCAGAACUGCAUCUAGAGCACCGGGCCAAUAUUGUCACCUUCCCUGUCAUGGCUUCCUUCCUGUCUCCACUCCCUACAGUACUCCUGAGAGCCGGGAGCACUCCCUGGAGCACUCCCUGAUUCGUUUUAUCUUCUGCACAACUGUUUGGCUGGAAUAGGAAGCAAAUGGCAUGGAAUUUGCAUAUGAAAAGCCAUUCCCACCUGUGUCCUUGUGUCUGUAAGGAUAGGAGGAUCCAAUCUUCUUAUCUGACCAGCCCUGUCAACACCUUCAUCUUGUUUCACAUUUGUGAAGGUCGGGGAGGCAUCUGGAGCUUCUUGAUGUGUCAGCUCGGAAUGCUGCCUGUGGGCUGGGUCGGCUUCAGGCCUGCAGGUCAAGAGAGAAGCACAGACAAAGGCACCACAGAGAUGCACAGUGACACUCAAAGAGGCAGCGAGACAGAGAUGAAGGCGUCGUGCUGUGAGAGCCAUCGCCCGGCAGCAUCCCCUCUCCUGGGUGUGAAUUAUGUCCUCCAAGGGCCUCAGCCACUGCAGCUUGAAAGUUACUUUUAUGCUAUUUCCUUAAAACCAACAAGAACACUUGACAUUUCUAGGAGGCUUUGAGUAGAGAACACUGGUGGUUCUCGUUGGUUGUGUAACUCUGCCAGGAAUUUAGAAUAUUGUUAGAAUCUUUAUUACAUUUCAGCCUGAUAAGGAGAUGAAAUAGCUAAUGAAUCCACUAAAAAAACUGCCAAGUAGCAAAGCUGGAAACUUUGGCCUUUGGUUGUCGUAUAAUAACACACCCCAGGCACAGAAGGUUUAGCACAUUUUUCCUUACUAAAACACAAAACAACAACACCAAUAACCCAAUGAGGAGUCUUCAACUCCUCCCACCCCAUAGCCCUGGGCUGUUCAUCUGCAAGUCAUUGUGUUAAUAGUUUUUGUUUGUUUGUUUUUUAGCAUUUGGUCUUCUAGAUUUGCUUAGAAAUCCAUGGAUUGGGGCAAGCCACGGGGAGCAGUGCCGUGCCUUUGCCUUUGUUGUGUGGAGUGACAGUCCCCGUGGCUGCAAGUCCUCACAAACCAGAAUGGGCAUGUUCCGGUGGAAAGGGAAGCAUUGUCUGCCUGGAAGAACCAGUCACCUCCAGUGGCUGGGAAUGUUUGUGCUUACCCACAGGGCAUGGGAAUGUAUGUGCUUACCUAGCCCAGAAGAGCUAGAGAGAAGAGCCUAGGUAUAAGACAAGGAGGCUUGUGGCAACUCCAAAGGGUCCCCUCUGGUUCUGGAGUGGAACUUACUAGAAAUGAAAGGGAAGUUAAUAGCUCCCUCAUCAGGGAUCUCAAUGUGUGUUUAGGUCCAGAAAAUCAAGGUUCUGGGUGCUCUGAUGGCAACUGUGCUGAGUGUGGCUGUCUGAACGCACCAGGGCUCAUUUGCUGAGCUUUUGUUCCACCUUCCGUGUCAGUUUGGAGGUUUGUUUCUUCAUGCAAUUAUGUCAGGUUCAUUAUUUUUCUUGGGCAUAGAACACACUUCCAACCCACAUGUUGUGGUUUGAAUAUGUCCUCCAAAAAGCAUGUGUGGGAAACUUAGGCCCCAUGCAACAGUGUUGGGAGGUGGGGCCUAAUGGGAAGUGCUCAGGCCAUGAGGACUCUGCUUUCAUGAAUGGAGUAAUGCUGCUAUUCCAAGGGAGUGAGUUCCUUAUAAAAGGACAAGUUUGGCCCCCUUUUCCCACUUUCUUGUCCUCUCUUGCCCUUCCACCUUCUGCCAUGGAGUAAUGCAGCAAGAAGGCCUCGCCAGAUGCUGGUCCCUCGAUCUUGGACUUUCCAGUCUCCAGAACCACAAGCCAAUAAAUUCCUGUUGAUUAUAAAAUUA
rnacentral:lncRNA from 1 species